UUGUCUUGGCUUGCAACAAAAAUCCAAUACGCACACCCGAAAUUGAAUUUGAACAGGGCUCAGACGCGCGUCCUCUUUGCUCACCAUCUCAGGUCAAUGGUCAUCACAGGCCACCUUGUCGGUCGUCUCUCCCGGCGAAGGUGGCCUUCCAAAAUCAAAAUGGAGCUAUCAUAAGAAACCUCUCUUCACGCCCUACUCAAAUCCACGACCAACUUCACGUAAUUGAAACUCUAAUCCCCUAACUGAAUCCCAAUCUCCCAAGAACCUUAACCUUUCCAUUUAAAAUUUAAUGUUACGCCCUUGAAAUAGAAGCCCUAGAGGUUAGGGAUUUGAUUCCCUUAAACGAAACUCACAAUCUGGCAUCAAGAAGUGAGCGAACGGGGAAGAAAUACCAACCUGUGAGAUUCUCCGGCAACGACGGUGAUGACGGUGUUGAGCUUCCAGGAUUUUGGACUUUAGUUUGAUGGAUUCUGGUGUGAUGAUAGGUCAAUGGUAUGUUGUUGUCAUGGUCAUCUAGUAGAAAAUCUUGCAUCAUGAACAACUCAGCAUGUAGUAGUGAAUUAUUGGCAUGAUGAUAAUGAUAUGGAAGUUACUGCUAGGAUACUAUCAAGGUUUUGAAGCAUGAUGACAUUUGGGGUGGCUUGCUGGAAAAAUCAGGGUGCAUGGCCUUGUUUUAUGCUGCUGCGUUGUUCAUUGCAGUUUAUUGUUUAUGACUUGCACUGCUAAUUGCCUAGGUUCUGCUAGUAGUCUUGUUUUAUUGGUUUUGUUUUCUUUUUCUUGAGGAUGCUAUACAUGUUGUUACCUGACUUGUGGAAUUUUUGCUGCUACUUGAAUGAUGCAAUGUAGUUUAAUGUGAUAGUUGCUUGGUGAAUUGUUGAUGCAAUUCUAAAUGUUAUUCCAUGCUUCAAAUGUGUUAUGUAUGCUAGUGAACUAUUUUGAAGCAUUGCUUGAAUAUUGAGGUUGCAUCCUACCUUGGUUAUGUCCAUUACUAUGCCUUGCUUGGCACCAGGUAUGUAAAUAAUCCUGGCAUGUCAUGCUUUAAAGUGAAACAUUAUGUAGUGCCAAGUCUUCCAACAGGCGACUAUAGUUCAUCAUUGUUUUGGCUUGGUUUGUCAUGAGCCCUACUCAUAUUUUGCAGCAUGGCAUCAUGAUUCUGCAACAGGAUGACACCUGAGUGUUGCUUGUUCCAAGGCAACUUUGCAUUAUUCAUUCAGUUGUAGGUAAACCCUUUAUAACCUUGAUAUUGGUUUGUUGCCUUGAGUACAUGCAAGUCAGGGUGUUUGCUUCAUCAUUUGGCUAAGUUUUUUGGUCAAGGUUUUGCAUUUUUCUUUGUAGGUCAUGUGCCCAUGGAGUGUGGCUAGACAAGGCAACAAGACAUCAAACUUGGCAUUUGGGUUAUCAUGUGCAAAAGGCAACUCCAUGACCAAAGCUCCAAAGACUCAAAAUUAGGAAUGUAGUUAGGAUAUGGACUUAGAUUUUUAGGCCUUUUGGAAGAAAAGGGUUUAGUUGACUUUGGUCAGAGUUGACCAAAAAGUCAAUUGUUGACCAAAGUCAACCCUUGGUCAAAGUUGUAAAAAAAUUGCAUUUUUCAUGUAAUGACUAAUGUGAUGGGUUGUAAUGGCUUGAAAUGGAUUAAAAUUGAUUUGCAAUGGUUUGAA